rnacentral:rRNA from 1 species
AACGAACGCUGGCGGCAUGCCUAACACAUGCAAGUCGAACGAGACCUUCGGGUCUAGUGGCGCACGGGUGCGUAACGCGUGGGAACCUGCCCUUAGGUUCGGAAUAACUCCCCGAGAGGGGUGCUAAUACAGGAUAAUGUCUUAGGACCAAAGAUUUAUCGCCUUUGGAUGGGCGCGGGUUGGAUUAGCUGGUUGGUAGGGUAAAAGCCUACCAAGGCGACGAUCGAUAGCUGGUCUGAGAGGAUGGUCAGCCACGCUGUGAGUGAGACACGGCCCAGACUCCUGCGGGAGGCGGCGGUGGGGAUGAUUGGACGAUGGGCGAAAGCCUGAUCCAGCAAUGCCGCGUGAGUGAGGAAGGCCUUAGGGUUGUAAAUCUCUUUUGCCCGGGAUGAUAAUUACAGGACCGGGAGAAUAAGCUCCGGCUAACUCCGGG